GCCUCCAUGUUGGAAUAGGUAGACAAGACAGACUUAAAAUCUGUUAACCAGUAAUGGUUGUGUGGGUUCAAGUCCCAUUGGAGGUA
rnacentral:tRNA from 1 species